rnacentral:rRNA from 1 species
GACGAACGCUGGCGGCGUGCCUAACACAUGCAAGUCGAGCGGGGUCGAGGCGAGAGGUAACUCGAACUUCUACCUAGCGGCGGACGGGUGAGUAACGCGUGGGCAACCUGCCUCAAGGUUUGGGAUAACAGCCCGAAAGGGCUGCUAAUACCGGAUAUGCCUAUGGCCUCGCAUGGGGCUAUGAGCAAAGGGGAAACCCGCCUUGAGAUGGGCCCGCGUCCCAUCAGCUAGUUGGUGAGGUAACAGCUCACCAAGGCGACGACGGGUAGCCGGCCUGAGAGGGUGACCGGCCACACUGGGACUGAGACACGGCCCAGACUCCUACGGGGGGCAGCAGUGGGGGAUCUUGCACAAUGGGCGAAAGCCUGAUGCAGCGACGCCGCGUGAGCGAAGAAGGCCUUCGGUUGUAAAGCUCUGUCUGGAGGGACGGAACAAAAUGACGGUACCUCCGGAGGAAGCCACGGCUAACUACGUG